AUUGAACGCUGGCGGUAGGCCUAACACAUGCAAGUCGAACGAGUGGCGGACGGGUGAGUAAUGUCUGGGAAAAUGCCUGAUGGAGGGGGAUAACUACUGGAAACGGUAGCUAAUACAGCAUACCAUCAGAGGUGCCCAGAUGGGAUUAGCUUGUUGGUGGGGUAACGGCGCACCAAGGCGACCAACCCUAACUGGUCUGCGAGGAGGACCCGCCACAAUGGAACUGAGACACGGUCCAGACUCCUACGGGAGGCAGCAGUGGGGAAUAUUGCACAAUGGGCGCAAGCCUGAUGCAGCCAUGCCGCGUGUAUGUAGAAGGCCUUCGGGUUGUAAAGUACUUUCAGCGAGGAGGCGUUACCCGCAGAAGAAGCACCGGCUAACUCCGUGCCAGCCGCCGCGGUAAUAC
rnacentral:rRNA from 1 species